rnacentral:tRNA from 1 species
ACCUGGCUGGCUUACAUGGAAGAGCAUGUGACUCCUGAUCUCAGGGUCAUGAGUUUGAGCCCCAUGUUGGGUG